CUUGGUCAUUUAGAGGAUGUAAAAGUCGUAACAAGGUCUCCGUUGGUGAACCAGCGGAGGGAUCAUUACCGAGUUUACAACUCCCAAACCCAAUGUGAACGUUACCAAACUGUUGCCUCGGCGGGAUCUCUGCCCCGGGUGCGUCGCAGCCCCGGACCAAGGCGCCCGCCGGAGGACCAACCAAAACUCUUAUUGUAUACCCCCUCGCGGGUUUUUUACUAUCUGAGCCAUCUCGGCGCCCCUCGUGGGCGUUUCGAAAAUGAAUCAAAACUUUCAACAACGGAUCUCUUGGUUCUGGCAUCGAUGAAGAACGCAGCGAAAUGCGAUAAGUAAUGUGAAUUGCAGAAUUCAGUGAAUCAUCGAAUCUUUGAACGCACAUUGCGCCCGCCAGUAUUCUGGCGGGCAUGCCUGUCCGAGCGUCAUUUCAACCCUCGAACCCCUCCGGGGGGUCGGCGUUGGGGAUCGGCCCUUUACGGGGCCGGCCCCGAAAUACAGUGGCGGUCUCGCCGCAGCCUCUCCUGCGCAGUAGUUUGCACACUCGCAUCGGGAGCGCGGCGCGUCCACAGCCGUUAAACACCCCAAACUUCUGAAAUGUUGACCUCGGAUCAGGUAGGAAUACCCGCUGAACUUAAGCAUAUCAAUAAGCGGAGGA
rnacentral:rRNA from 1 species